UACGUAGGGUGCAAGCGUUAAUCGGAAUUACUGGGCGUAAAGCGUGCGCAGGCGGUUAUGUAAGACAGUUGUGAAAUCCCCGGGCUCAACCUGGGAAUUGCAUCUGUGACUGCAUAGCUAGAGUACGGUAGAGGGGGAUGGAAUUCCGCGUGUAGCAGUGAAAUGCGUAGAUAUGCGGAGGAACACCGAUGGCGAAGGCAAUCCCCUGGACCUGUACUGACGCUCAUGCACGAAAGCGUGGGGAGCAAACGAGGAUUAGA
rnacentral:rRNA from 1 species